CCUGCGGACCGGGCCCCUCUGGCAGCAUGAUCGUCACGAUCGGCUGCGAUGUCGGACCGCAUCG
rfam:Paracoccus sp. 361 scaffold_3, whole genome shotgun sequence.